rnacentral:tRNA from 1 species
UGGGGUGUAGCCAAGCGGUAAGGCAGCGGAUUUUGGAUCCGCCAUGCGUUGGUUCGAAUCCAGCCACCCCAGCCA